GGCUAAGGUCUUGUCCCUGGGAAUAUUGCACAAUGUGACCUGCUUCCCCCCUCCCCGAUAACCAGUGUAUAAAUGCCUCGUUUACAGGUGGUUCCAGCAGUCAGCAUCAACAUUUGGUUGUGUUCCCCGUUUCUGCCCCUGUAGAAGUAACUAGUGUUGAUGAGGAUGAUCCUGGUGGCUCUGCUGGUGCCUCUACUGGUUCUGUCCAGCGCUGGACAUACCUCAGGUACGAUUGUCACCAGCUGCGAGGCGUGUCACGAACAAGCCGUCUGCCACACCUCGCCCAUGACAGGUGACAUCACAUGCACCUGUAAGAAGGACU